ensembl:lncRNA
GUAAAUGUAAUUUUGGAAACGUCAACAAAAGGGUCGCUUUUGCGGACGAAUUUUACAGUGUAUGGGUGUGUAGCAGCCCAAAAGAAGCGAGUAGGGUCUUAACCAGGACUAAACCAGGACUAAACCAGGUAUAGACCAGGUAUAAAUCACGACUGUCUCUGGCUUUCUGCGUUUUUCUCAGCUCUUGGUUGUAUUUGGAGUUUUUGUAUCAAUCAACGCAAACCCAGAUAUGGCUUGUCCCGGGCUGCUGCCGCCUCCUCAGGCCGAUUCACGGAACUUCUUCGUCGUCCCAGAGUCUCAGGACGAGCCGCUUGUGGAGCCGCUGGAGGAGCUGCGGAGCUUCGUGAACGCUCGGUUAUCUGCGGCCGUGGAGGACAUUCUGCUCGCGGUGGGGAAGACCGUGACGAGGUUCCUACACGAAUGUCCCCAGCAGAGGAUUCAGCAGGUCGGCGUAGAGCUCAAAGAAGAGCCGCCUGGAGCAUCUGAAGGUGUGGCAGAUCAGCCUUUGGAGCUGGAGCAGAAUCAGAUCAUUGAAGCCACGGGUACAGUGAAGGAGGAGCAGAUUCUGGUGAACAUCAGCCACACGUUUCUCAAAGAGGAACCAAAAACCUUUUCUCUGGAAGCCCAGUUUCCCCGGGGUGUCUUUAGGGAACAGACACAGGAAGUCAAAACGUUCUCUCUGAGGGGCCAGAAACCGGAGGAGAAAUGGCACCUUCAGCUACCUCCCAAAACCCAACCAAACCACAACCAGGACAUGGGUCUAAACCAGGACGAGACCCAGAAUCAAGGAGUAAACCAGGACCAGACUCAGAACCAGGACUGUGAGGAGAGUGUGGGGUGGGAGUUUGAGGGACUGCCACCUGGAGGCAGAAGUCCAGAACAAACAGAAAAUUCAUCUCAGGAAGAACAGUCUCUAAAACGAGAAACUGCAAGCCUGAAUCUGAACCUCGCCACGGUGAACCUGGGCCCAAAGUUGCAAGUCAACGGCGUGAUGUUAAAUCUUGUCACAUUAAAUGAGCCAACGCUAAACCCUGUCGCGCAGGAUUCAGACGACAACGUGACAGAGAACUCAUCUGACUUCAGCGACUCUGAAACUGAGUGUGUGAAACCUGUAUCUGUAGAGCAAUCUUUAAAUGCAGCUACACAGUGUAAUGAUGUCAUAAAGAUGCCGACUGCAGAGAGGGGCGGGGCCAGGCUGGAAAAGAGGCAGAGACAUAAAAGUGACACGCCAAGGAAGCGCAGGAAGGCAGUAGCAAGGAAGGAGGGUGGGGCUGAAGUGAACCACGCCUCCUCCACCUGUAAAAUGUUUGAUUUGCUGCAGAAAGUGAAGACCACCUGCGUGACUCCGCCCUGCAUGACUCCGCCCUGCGUGACGCCACCCUGCACGACUCCGCCCUGCGCGACGCCGCCCUGCGUGAAUUUGCCCUGCACGACUCCGUCCUGUGCAACUACACCCUGUAUGACUCUGCCCUACACGUCUCCACCCUGCCCCAUCUGUGGGAAACGCCUCAAGCAUAAAACCAGUCUUACCCGACACAUAAAGGGGCACCAGAGCCAUGACAGAAAAGAGGAGGAGAAAGGGAGGGACAAGACGAGAGGUGGAGGGGAGGAGAUCAAGAAAGCAGAGGAGAAAAGGAGGGAGAGAGUACAGAGGAGAAGGAAAAUGAAGGAGGAGAGAAGGAGAGAUGUGACAAGAGGGGAAAAGGAGAGAGAGAAAGGGAGGGUGAGAGUGCAGGGGAGUGACAAGAAGAGAAAGACGAGGGAAAAGGAGAGAGACAGGAAAGGGCGAAGAGAAGUAGAGGAGAGGAAGAAAGGGGGAGAGAGAACAGAGGAGAGGAAGAAAGGGGGAGAGAGAGGAGAGGAGAUGACAAAUGGGGGAGAGCGAGUAGAAGAGAGAGAGAGGGAGGAGGAGAGGAGCCGAAAGAGGCAGAGGAUGGAAACUGAUACUGACACAGACCAAACCAGGGACUCCUCUGAUGAAAACUGAAAACUGCAUAGUCCUAGUUCAGUCCUGGUUUAGUUCUAGCUCAGUCCUGGUUUUAGUUUUGGUUUAGACCCGGUUUAGUCCUGGUUUAGUCCUGGUUUAGUCCUGGUUUAGUCCUGGUUUAGUCCUGGUUUAGACCUGGUUUAGUCCCGGUUUAGACUUUUAGACUUGUUUUAGACCUGUUUUAGACCUGGUUUAGUCCUGGUUUGAUCCUGGUAUAGACAUGGUUUAGUUCUGGUUUAGUCCCGCUUUAGUCCCGCUUUAGUCCCGCUUUAGACCCGGUUUAGACCCGGUUUAGACCCGGUUUAGACCCGGUUUAGACCCGGUUUAGACCCGGUUUAGACCCGGUUUACACCUGGUUUACACCUGGUUUAGACCUGGUUUAGCCCUGGUUUAGACCUGGUUUAGUCCUGGUUUAGUCCUGGUUUAGACCUGGUUUAGACCUGGUUUAGCCCUGGUUUGAUCCUGGCAUAGACAUGGUUUAGUCCCGGUUUAGUCCUGGUUUAUUUCUGAUGCCAUCACACUGUCACUGUCCAAAAGUUUACAUGUUUUA